rnacentral:rRNA from 1 species
UACGGGGGGGGCAAGCGUUGUUCGGAAUUACUGGGCGUAAAGGGCUCGUAGGCGGCCAACUAAGUCAGACGUGAAAUCCCUCGGCUUAACCGGGGAACUGCGUCUGAUACUGGAUGGCUUGAGUUUGGGAGAGGGAUGCGGAAUUCCAGGUGUAGCGGUGAAAUGCGUAGAUAUCAGGAGGAACACCAAUGGCGAAGGCAGCACUCUGGGACGUGACUGACGCUGAGACGCGAAAGCGUGGGGAGCAAACAGG